rnacentral:rRNA from 1 species
GAUCCUGGCUCAGGACGAACGCUGGCGGCGUGCCUAACACAUGCAAGUCGAGCGGGGAAUGUUGAGCAGCUUGCUGCUUGGCAUUUCUAGCGGCGGACGGGUGAGUAACGCGUGAGCAACCUGCCUUUAUCAGGGGGAUAACGCAUCGAAAGAUGUGCUAAUACCGCGUAAGACCACAGCUUCACAUGGAGCAGGGGUCAAAGGAGCAAUCCGGGAUAAAGAUGGG